GACGAACGCUGGCGGCGUGCUUAACACAUGCAAGUCGAACGAAGAGCGAUGGAAGCUUGCUUCUAUCAAUCUUAGUGGCGAACGGGUGAGUAACGCGUAAUCAACCUGCCCUUCAGAGGGGGACAACAGUUGGAAACGACUGCUAAUACCGCAUACGAUCCAAUCUCGGCAUCGGGACUGGAUGAAAGGUGGCCUCUAUUUAUAAGCUAUCACUGCAGGAGGGGAUUGCGUCUGAUUAGCUAGUUGGAGGGGUAACGGCCCACCAAGGCGAUGAGCAGUAGCCGGUCUGAGAGGAUGAACGGCCACAUUGGGACUGAGACACGGCCCAGACUCCUACGGGAGGCAGCAGUGGGGAAUCUUCCGCAAUGGAGGAGAGUCUGACGGAGCAACGCCGCGUGAGUGAUGACGGCCUUCGGGUUGUAAAGCUCUGUUAAUCGGGACGAAUGGUUCUUGUGCGAAUAGUGCGAGGAUUUGACGGUACCGGAAUAGAAAGCCACGGCUAACUACGUG
rnacentral:rRNA from 1 species